CGUGACUCAUCAGCUGCUUCUGAUGCUGACCGUUGGGUCCGUGGAGCCACCCCUAUGCCACACAACGGCCAGGGGUCGGGGGAGAGGCCGCGCAUCGUCCUCAAUCCUCCUCCUAAACGUGACCCGGCGGCAGCUGCCUCCACCCCACCUGCUGAGGUGGCCCGCAACCGCCCAAGCCCGUUUGGGGCUGCAAGGCCCCGGGAGGAUGUGCUGGCAGAGAAGGGGGUGGACUGGAGGAAGGUUGAGAA
rnacentral:lncRNA from 1 species